CGCCCAUCCACUGAAGAUCUUCGCUUCUACUGGCUAAUGACAGGGAAAGAAGCCAAGGGCUCGCACGCUGCGGUGCAGUGAAAUGGUGUUCCUCCAGCAACAUUAGACAGAAUUUUUAGGAUCCUAGAGGGACCAGGUUCCUAGACACCGGAAAUGAGGAGUGGCACAGGGCAAUGGAAAUUAGAUGAAGGCGAGGGUUUGAGUCGAAGCAAGAGCAUCUCGGGGGCUUCCCUGAUAGCUCAGACAGUAAAGAAUCUACCUGAAAUGCAGGAGAACCAUGUUCGAUCCCUGGGUCGGGAAGAUCCCGUGGAGAAGGAAGUGGCCAUCUACUCCAGUAUUCUUGCCCGGAGAAUCCCAAGGACAGAGGAGCCUGGUGGGCUGCAGUUCAUGGGGUCGCAGAGUCGGACACGACUGAGUGCCUUUCACUUUCAAGAGCAUCUCGGUGGCCGGGAGGGAUGAGUUCCGGGGAACCUACGCCUGGCCCUGGGGAAAUCUAUUCCAAAUUUCUGGGAAGACUUCUUUUCUCGGAAGUCUAGUUUCUCGCCCCUCCCCAGCUUUCCCUCCCGCCGUCCUUCUGCCUCAGACACCCUUCCCUUGACAAAGAGCUUCAGUGCCUAGCUCCAAGGUCCCCUCCGCUAGGAAGCCUCCCUAGGAUCCCCAGCACCGUCCUCUGUCCUCUCUGGGCUACUCUGGCCCCGGUCUCCUCGUGCGGAGUUGUGUAUCCCGUCUGUCUCUGGCUCCCCGAAAGCCAGAAAGGGGAGAUUAUUUUCAGGUUAACCCGGGACAGCUCCGGCCGGCGAAAUAAAGCGCUGAUGGUGGAAUUCCAGGCACUGGAUAGGCGGGGUCUCCAGGGGAGAGGAGUGAAUGAUGACGUUCGCCGUCUCCAAGUUGUUCCAUCUGUCAAAAGUAUACAUCAAAUGACUACCGUGUAACCACGAAGAAUCAGUCUGGGCCCCUGCCCUCGUUGGUCUAUCAGUCCAAUGGAAGAGGCUACAGAGGAUGGUCAGGGGGUCAGACAACAGAGAAAAUACAGGGCCCCCAAUUAAAUGUAAAUUUCAGAUGAA